UACGUAGGGGGCGAGCGUUGUCCGGAUUUAUUGGGCGUAAAGAGCGUGUAGGCGGCUAGAUAGGUCCGUUGUGAAAACUCGAGGCUCAACCUCGAGACGCCGGUGGAAACCAUCUAGCUAGAGUCCGGAAGAGGAGAGUGGAAUUCCUGGUGUAGCGGUGAAAUGCGCAGAUAUCAGGAAGAACACCCGUGGCGAAGGCGGCUCUCUGGUACGUGACUGACGCUGAGACGCGAAAGCGUGGGGAGCGAACAGG
rnacentral:rRNA from 1 species